GUUUCAAAUUUUAUGAUUUGAUUAAGACGGUUUUAUAAAGGGGUUUAAAAAAGAUUGGCAGGCGAAUCAACGCCAAGGCGUAUCAGCACUCCUACCAAAGUCAAUUAGGGUUCACAAAGGGUUGACUAGUACUGUUUUUUAGGCAGCCCUAGCGUUUAAGGGGACUCUAAAGUCCUUCUUUUAUUAAUGAUCCAACCGCAGGUUCACCUACGGUUA
rnacentral:misc_RNA from 1 species